rnacentral:rRNA from 1 species
GACGAACGCUGGCGGCGUGCUUAACACAUGCAAGUCGAACGGACAGGCCCUGCUUUUGUGGGUUUCUCGAGUGGCGAACGGGUGAGUAACACGUGAGUAACCUGCCCUUGUCUUUGGGGUAACUUCUCGAAACUGGGGCUCAUACCGGAUAUGAGCUCCUGCUGCAUGGUGGUGGUUGGAAAGUUUCGGCGGUUCGGGCUGGUUUGGCGGGUUAUGCGCUUGUUGGUGUGGUAGUGACUUACGAAGGCUUAGACGGAUAGGCGGCCUGGGAGGGGUACCGGCGACAUGGGGACUGAGAGACGGCCCAGACGCGUACGGGAGGCAGCAGGGGGGAACAUGGCGCAAUGGGCGGAAGUCUGAUGCAGAAGUGCCGCGUGCGGGAUGACGGCCUUCGGGGUAUAAACAGAUUUCGAAUGUGACGAAGAGUGAGUGACGGUAAUGGGUAAAGAAGCACCGGCUAACUACGUG